rnacentral:rRNA from 1 species
AGAGUUUGAUCCUGGCUCAGGAUGAACGCUGGCGGCGUGCCUAAUACAUGCAAGUCGAACGGAGAUUGUAGCAAUACGGUCUUAGUGGCGAACGGGUGAGUAACGCGUUGGUGACCUGCCCCGAAGUGUGGGAUAACAGCCCGAAAGGGUUGCUAAUACCGCAUGUGGUUUUUCGGAUUAGAUGCCGGAUUUCUAAAGGAGAAAUUCGCUUCGGGAGGGGCCUGCGUCCCAUCAGCUAGUUGGUAGGGUAAAAGCCUACCAAGGCGAUGACGGGUAGGGGACCUGAGAGGGUGGCCCCCCACAAUGGAACUGAAACACGGUCCAUACACCUACGGGUGGCAGCAGUAGGGAAUAUUGGUUAAUGGGCGAAAGCCUGAACCAGCAACGCCGCGUGUGCGAUGACGGCCUUCGGGUUGUAAAGCACUUUUUGAGGGGAUGAGGAAGGACAGUACCCUCAGA